rnacentral:rRNA from 1 species
UACGUAGGGCGCAAGCGUUAUCCGGAAUUAUUGGGCGUAAAGAGCUCGUAGGCGGUUUGUCGCGUCUGCCGUGAAAGUCCGGAGCUCAACUCCGGGCCUGCAGUCGAUACGGGCAAACUGGAGUGUUGCAGGGGAGACUGGAAUUCCUGGUGUAGCGGUGAAAUGCGCAGAUAUCAGGAGGAACACCGGUGGCGAAGGCGGUUCUCUGGGCAUUACCUGACGUGGAGGAGCGAAAGUGUGGGGAGCGAACAGG